AUUUCCCUCAUCAAGAGUCAUGAGCUUGUUCUGAGGUCUGAUUAGCUUGCUAAUUGGGUUGGAGAAAUCAUUGAGUUAAAAGAGAGAAAUGGGAGCUAUUGCUGGAGAAGAGCUGCUAAAAUGGGAGAAGAUGCAAGGAGUGAGU